UACGGAGGGUGCGAGCGUUGUCCGGAGUCACUGGGCGUAAAGCGCACGUAGGCGGCGAUUCAAGUCAGAGGUGAAAGCCCGGGGCUCAACUCCGGAACUGCCUUUGAAACUAGAUUGCUAGAAUCUUGGAGAGGCGAGUGGAACUCCUAGUGUAGAGGUGGAAUUCGUAGAUAUUAGGAAGAACACCAGUGGCGAAGGCGGCUUACUGGUCCGGUACUGACGCUGAGGUGCGAAAGCGUGGGAGCAAACAGGG
rnacentral:rRNA from 1 species